rnacentral:rRNA from 1 species
UACGUAGGGGGCUAGCGUUGUCCGGAAUCAUUGGGCGUAAAGAGCGUGUAGGCGGCCCGGUAAGUCCGCUGUAAAAGUCAAAGGCUCAACCUUUGAAUGUCAGUGGAUACUGCCGGGCUAGAGUCCGGAAGAGGCGAGUGGAACUCCUGGUGUAGCGGUGGAAUGCGCAGAUAUCAGGAAGAACACCAACGGCGAAGGCAGCUCGCUGGGACGGGACUGACGCUGAGACGCGAAAGCGUGGGGAGCGAACAGG